UGUCACUCAGGUGUGCCCAGGUGUCACUCAGGUGUCACUCAGGUGUCUCUCAGGUGUCACUCGGGUCACUCAGGUGUCACUCAGGGGUCACUCAGGGGUCACUCAGGUGUGCCCAGGUGCCCGCAGGUGACCCCAGGUGCCCCCGCACAGGUGGCCCUGCGCUCGCUGCCCGAGGAGGCGGUGAAGGAGGGGUCACUCAGGUGUCACUCAGGUGUCACUCAGGGGUCACUCAGCUGUCACUCAGGUGUCACUCAGGUGUGC